CCAAUAGCGUAUAUUAAAGUUGUUGCAGUUAAAAAGCUCGUAGUUGAAUUUCGAGACCGGUUUAUUGGUCGUGCUUUUGUACGUACUGGUAUUAUUGGUUUCUCCUUUCUGACGAAUCUUAAUGCCAUUAAUUUGGUGUUUUAGGGAAUCAGGACUGUUACUUUGAAAAAAUUAGAGUGUUUAAAGCAGGCUCACGCUUGAAUACAUUAGCAUGGAAUAACGGAAUAGGACGUUUGAUUCUAUUUUGUUGGUUUCUAGGAUCGACGUAAUGAUUAAUAGGGAUAGUUGGUGGCAUUAGUAUUCAAUUGUCAGAGGUGAAAUUCUUGGAUUUAUUGAAGACUAACUACUGCGAAAGCAUUUGCCAAGGAUGUUUUCAUUAAUCAAGAACGAAAGUUAGGAGAUCGAAGACGAUCAGAUACCGUCGUAGUCUUAACCAUAAACUAUGCCGACUAGGGAUCGGAUGAUGUUAAUUUUUUAAUGACUCAUUCGGCGCCUUACG
rnacentral:rRNA from 1 species